CUUUGCUGGAGCAGGGGUAGAUCAUUGGGUUGAUGCAGCUGUUGAAGUAUCCCAGCCAAAAGACCACUUUGAACACGGUAUCAGAAGGCUUCAGUGCCGGGAAGAGGGAACCUGGACGGAGACGAGAUGAUUUAGCAAGCUUCAUCCAGAAACCUCAGUGAACAGGACCUAUUUUGUGAUACCUUUGCUCGUGCAGAAUAUGUAAGUGAUGUAUUUAUAGUAUGACUUCAACAGGUUUUCAUUUGUCAAAAUACAGGAGGUGAAUACGUUCUCUGUGGCGAUAAAGUAGAAUAUGCACAGAUGUGUCAUGUAAAAUGUUUCCAAUGUCGAAAAAUUGUGCUGCAGACCUUUAAAUAUUCCAUUUCUAUCUUGAUUUAGUAGUACUAGUAAUGUAUUAAUUAUUUUUUUUCUAUAGACGGGCAGAGAAGACAUUUAAACAGAAUUCAUUUAAGAGUUUUUUUUGCUUUUUUUUCUUGCAUUUAUCAUUAAACACUGAAACUGCUUCCUGUACAGAUCACCACCGACACUAAUUUGUCUUUAUGCUGCUUGUUUUUAGUAUGACGUAUUUUCUGUGUGACAUGGAUACUACACGUUGUGAGUGUUGCCUUUUCCUAUUGUGUUGUAGUUGUCUCCCCAGGCUUCGGAUUUAAUGCACCGUCGACCCUGUCCAAUUUUCAUUUCAAUUCUGUUGGUAUAAUGUGCAAACAUGUGAAUUGGCCCGUGUGUCAUUUGCAAAGUAAUAGUUUCACGCUGUCUUGACAUGAGCUUCCAGGGAAACACUGUGAAAAACAAAUAGAAACAGGACAUUUGUGUCAUUUUCUCAGAUAACCAUGAUGCUUAACCAUGAUUUAGAAAUCACACUUGUGUUUGUAUAACAUUCUAGAGGACUACAGUGUUUUGUCAGAGGCGUCUCAUACACUCCUCUUACUCUGUUUUAAUUUGUGCUGGGAGAUCCAUUAAACCAUUUUGAACUCAGCUUGCUUUAAGAUUAAGAUGAAUCCGCUAAUUAAAGGUUGUACUCCAUUGAUUCUUCUUACUAAAAUGACAUCGGCAGUGAUUCACCACUCUGACGUGCAACCACGCCACCAUGACAACGACCUGAUUUCCUUCUCUUUUUUUUUUUUUUUUUUCCCCAACAGUCUAAUUUCUGGUGUGUAUGAGAUGGUACUGAUGGCACAUUUCCGACUAUAUGUUUUUUAAGUUCACAUCACCUGUUACACUGAUUCCCAUCAUAAAGGAAAAGCUUUGGAGACCGUCAAGGAGACUGAGCCCCUAUAUGAUGUUUCUUUUGUGUGAGCACACAGAAUCCUGUUACAGGCCUGUGCUACAGAGCUAAGGCAAUUAUCCCCUUGACAUUUAAUGUUUUCUGUGAAGGUUAAUAUUUCAUAGUGGUCUUUUUUAAACUCACGCAGACCCAUUAACAUCCGUUUACAGCAUAAGCAACCAAACAACACGUCUGAAUAAUCAUAAUAGCUCAUAAUAGUAAAAACUAAUGUGGAUUAGCCUGACUCCCAGUAUUUCCCCAACCUACAAUAAAUGACAAGAAGCUGCCAUCGCCUUGUGAAAAGUUAAAAGCUAGCACAAGUAUAGCUUGAGAUAAAAAAAAAAGUAAAUAAAUAAAUAAAAAUGCGUACAGACUGGGAAGUCAGUACCCAUCACGUCGUCUGAGCCGUCCUCGAUCGAGCUGUUCAAUAAAUGUUUCUGUGUAAGCCUCGAAGCCUCUCGAGAAUCCUUCAGCCCGAGCUGACCUCACAGGAUGUGCUUUGAUAAGUCUGUGAAGGGUCUCUGGCACUGACAAAUGAGCCUUGUCACUCUUUUCGCUCCACAGACGAUACUUUAGAAAAUAACUGGUUUUGAUGUUUGUUUUUAUGGGGUUUGUUGGUCAUAAGUAAAACACAGAGGGGAUUGUGUAAAAAAAAA